ensembl:lncRNA
CUUCUCGGUGUAAACGUGAGCUGCGAGGGCCAGACCCGAGCAGGUUGAAACCUGCUCUGCUCAGCAUAGGUUUUUUUUUUUUCAUUCAAAAACCAGAGGUAGCAGGUUUAUUUUUUUUGAUUCAAAACCCAGAGGUAGCUACGCCCUGCGGGGCUCAUCCCACCAUGUCUGCACUGCACAACCCCACCAACCUUUCCAGGUUCGGGAAAGGUUUCCGGGGCUCCAGCACAUCCCAGGUUGGGGGCAGAGGGAGCAACAGGUGAUGGUCCCGAAACCCGGGCAUCCUCUCCCCUGUCCCACCUCACCCAGCGAGGAAAAAAUCAGAAAAAUCCUCCUGGAGAGCGUGAGGAGCCUCACGCUGCUCCCAGCUGAGAGAAAACCCACAAACAUCACGGGAAAGGAGGAUUCAGACAUUCCCAGUCAAUGGGGAGCCAUCUCCAGGGAAUGUCGCUUGCAGGGGGGGGGACACUUUGCAAACCCCAUCACAGCAGUGCCGGCUCGGCAGCCCCCGGUGCGGUGCCCACCACCCUGGGGUCCCCCACAGCCCCGUGCUGGGUGGCUCUGUCCCCCCCAAGCCAUCACCAGCACCAAAACUUACCGGGGCUGGAGUCGAAUCGGGGAUUAUGGCACGGACAUCUCGGCUCCCUCCUUGCACCUCGGCUCCCCAACUUGGUGUUCGCAGAGCGGUGUCACCAGUGCCUCCUCCCGGAGCCUGUCUCAUCCUCCUCCUCCUCCUCCUCUGUGUCUCGCUCCAGCGAUCUGUGCGUGUGGUGGUUGGUUUGUUGUUUUUUGCCUUUUUUUUUUUUUUUCAUUUAGGGGACUUUUUUUUUUUUUUUUUUUUCCCCAGCGGUUGCGUCAGGGCUGUUGCCUGGAGACAGGCGAGCUAUUCCAGUUUGAGCUUUUCAGCGCCGAUUUCCUCUCUCUCUCUCUCUCUCUUUCAUUCAUACCACCGAGCCCUGAACCUACCUCCCACCAAGCAAUAACCCUGGAGAGACCUGGAAUGGAGGAGGAGCUGCUCAGCCCGGGUCCUAAACACAUCCUCCGGCACUCGGGAGAGGCAGGGAGGAACAUCCGCGAUGCUUUCGAGCAGCGAUGCAGCGGUCCAGAGGAGGGCAGAUUUCAGAUCUGCAUAUGCAAACUCAGCCUGGUGAUCAGCUCUCACUGUGCUGCAGGGAGGCACCUGAAGGCUGAUGAUGAUGGAGAGGCACCAAGGGAGAUGGAAGAGCUCUUGGCUGCGUGUUAAAACUGUCUGAUAAAGACUUGCAGGAGCUUUUAGCAGCAAAAGGAAUCCCAGAAUCCCAAUCUCAAGAGGGGUUGGAAGGGAUCACAAUGGGUCAGCUGGUCCGGCCUCCCCAUCCCAGGGCACAGGGCUGUGUCCAGAUCAUUCUGGAAUAUCCCCAUUGAGGAGACUCCACUCCAUCUCUGGGCAAUCUGUUCAGUCCUCAGUCACUGCACAGGAAAGUUCUUCCUCAUGUCCAGGCGGAACUUCCUGGGCAUCAAUUCCUGCCCAUUCUUGUUUUCCUGUUUCUGGGUCUCACAGAGCAGAGCCUGAUCCAUCAAGCUCGUGGAGGUUCAACAUUUUCAGCAUCAUCUCAUCCAAAUCAAAACUGAGUCUGCCCAUGAACCAAGCAGCACCAGGGAUCAGACAGGCACAGGGUGAAACAGCCCCUGGCCUGGUUUUGGUGUGGGAUGAGCAAUCCCAGGACAUGGCUUGGGAAUGACCACGACUGGGGCCCCUUCCUGACAAACAAGUUGGAUUCAGCCACCCAGAUUUGAUGGCCAGGAACUUUGAAUCUCAGGGAUGUGGCCAGACAGGGUCAGAUGGCCUCAGGGCCAGAGCCCAGGUCUAGCAGGGUGAGUUUACAGCAGAGGUGUUGCUCCCAGAGCUGGACAUCUGUCUGUCUGUCUGUCUCCUCACAGGAACAGACCACACACUGUCACCCCGCUCCCUCUUCUGUAAAUGUUUAUUUUUAAUUCGGUUGCGUAAUGGAUUUCAAACGAGCUGCCAUGAGAUAGCAGUGAAAGGCUGCAGCCACAUCCUUCUGAAGCCAGUCCAUGGGUUUGAAUAUUUUUUGGCCUGGAUUUAUCUUGGAUAAAUUGUGUUCAUCCAAAAAACACUGGUGGAGAGCUGCUGAGGGAGAGUGGCGCUCCCACUGGUGAUGCUCUAACACCAACCACCUGCAAUGGACACCUGAAAUUAGGUGUGAUCAGUCAAAAUAAAACUGUGCAACACCAUCA